UGAGUAACACGUAGGAAUCUGCCUUUGAGACUGGGAUACAAUUGGAAACGAUUGCUAAUACCGGAUGAUAUAUUAAAUGGCACGUUAUUUAAUAUUAAAAGGAGCCCUUUAAAGCUUCACUUAAAGAUGAGCCUGCGGCGUAUUAGCUAGUUGGUAAGGUAACGGCUUACCAAGGCGACGAUGCGUAGCCGACCUGAGAGGGUGAUCGGCCACAUUGGGACUGAGACACGGCCCAAACUCCUAUGGGAGACAGCAGUUGGGAAUAUUCGACAAUGGAGGAAACUCUGAUCGAGCAAUGCCGCGUGAGUGAUGACGGUCCUUUGGAUUGUAAAACUCUUUUAUUAGGGAAGAACGACUAGUAUAGGAAAUGAUACUAGAGUGACGGUACCUUUUGAAUAAGCCCCGGCUAACUACGUG
rnacentral:rRNA from 1 species